UUCAUUAUUGACUUGCCUUCAGCUGUUUUGCUGAAGGUGAAAAUGGGCGAUGAUUACAAAGAGAGAAAAUGUCUUAUGUGGGAAAUAAUACCCAAUUCCAUCGCAAAUGCUAUGUUGGGAAAUAAAGAGCAGAAUUCUAAGUCAGAAUUUGAAGGUGCCGCUAUACUCUUUUUACCAAAGGGGUUUUGGCUUUGGCAUCUCACAUUCUGGCUUCUUCUUUUUCUCUGCUCUUCCUCUCUCUCUUACUGUCCUUUCAAAUUGAAUUGGGGUUGUUUCUUACAGUGAUAGAUCUAUCAAAAUUUACACUUCACAUGAGCCCUUCACCCAUUGUUACGAUGAUUUUAUCCUUUUGUUUUAAAAAUCUGUUUUGGUUAGGGUUCAUGUUUCAAUUGAUGUAUUGGAUUAUUCAAGCAUAAAAACCACAAUGGUAUUUGUUCAAUCGAGUUUUAUUAGGUUUUUGAAGAUCGAAUGUUCAAUUUUCCUAACAUAAUCAACUGAGUUGACACAAGUGUCUAUAGUUUCCAUGUUGCAUUAAUCGAGCAUGAAAACCAUAUUGACUGGUUUGGUUAGGUUGUGAAUCAAACUAAUCAACCACUAAAAUGGAAAUGGAAUCCACAAAUGCUGAGUUUUUUUGUCUCAUCAUUUUAUUAAUUUCAUUUCUCAUUUUUUUUUUUAUUUGUUUCUAUCUGCUAUUUAAAUUCAGUUGCUUUGUGUAUUUCUUAUUUUGAUAGAAAAUUUGGGGUUUUUUAAUAAUAAAACACAGUAGUAUGAAUAUGGUUAAGGUGUAUGGAAUCAAUUUAUCGCACUUUCAUUUUAUUUUUUUUGUUCUCUUUUAAUAAUUUGAUAAAAGUAAUGAGCUUUCACUCGUGUAUACUAAGGUAUGUGGGGAUGGUAUAAAAUUGCAUUUUUUUUCGACAUAGAAUUGCAUGUUAAGUAUUAUUGAUCCUUAGUGUGAACUUCGACUAAUAUGUGCAACUGUGAAAGUGUCGGCUUUAGUUGUGGUGCCCUUCAAUUUUUAUUAUAAGUAAGUUACCAUUUGGUGGGACCCCUUCCCGGACCCUGCAUAUGCGGGAGCUCUAGUGCACCGGGUUGCCCUUUUAUAUAAGUAAGUUAUCGCAUAUAUAUUUGCUAUUAAAGGUGUAGCAGGUUCAAUAAUUUCAAUGAAGUACUUGAUAUGAAAUGUGAAUACAGAGUAAAUAAAUCUAAAGAGUAAAGUGUACAAACCAAAUUCUAUACAAAAAAAGUAUACAUACCAAAUACCGUUGAUAUCAUUUUUCAGUAUUAUAAUUUGUGGUUUAAGCCUCAAUUAGUUGCUCUUAAAGAUGAGUCUCUAGAAAGAAUAAGGAGUCAUUGAAUUGUGAUACCUUUAUAUGUCUCGGAUUUUGUUUUUUAGGCCAAUUAUGUUUUUGCUUGUCACUCCUAUGUAGUAACUAUGGUUACAAUAGAAGAAUAGUUUGCUCAUUGCUUUCAGCUGUUUUGCUGAGGGUGAAAAGAAAGGGGCGAUGAUAAUAAUGAGAGGUUCCUUUAGUGGGAGAAUAAUAUCCAUUUCGAUCGGAAAAUUAGAACCCAACUUCUAUUAGUUAGGAUUCGCUCCAUAUAUCAAUAUCUACAAAGAAGGUCUGAACUUGAAGGUGCCGUCACACGUUUGUCACCUUUGGUAUAUCAGAUUCUGUCUGUCUUCUUUCUCCUUUUCUUCCUCUUUCUCUUGUUGUCCCUUAAAAUGGAUUCAGGUUUUUUUCCAGUGACUGAUCUUUCAAAAUUUACUUUUGGCAUGAGCCCCUCAAACUUCUGAUUUUCUAUUGUUAUGGUUAUUUUAACUUAUUUCUUUGAAAAAUUUGUUUUGUUCAUAGUUGUAAUUUCUUUUUCCUGCACUGAAUUUGUUGUGGACAAGGAAACAUUUUGUUGUCUUCUUGUUGAAGAUUUUGUGCCUACAGAAAAAGCUUGAUUAUAGCUACUGCUUGUUUCUGUGUUUCAGAAACUUUGUGUGUUUCUUGUAAGUGGGCAGCGGCCAGACAACCGUAGAGAUGGAAUCCACAGAGUGCAUCAGAGAAAGUGAAAAUGAGAGAUAUACCAUUUGAAUGUAUAUAAAUGCUUAGGACAGAUGAAACCCUAGGAAAAAUGUGGUGGUCUAUAUAAAGUGUGGGUCAGUUUCACUGUUCUUUACCUUCAGCUGUUUUGCUGAAGGUGAAAUGGGCGAUGAUUACAAAGAGAGAAGAUGUCUUAUGUAGGAAAUAAUACCCAAUUCCAUCCAUCGCAAAUGCUAUGUUGGGAAAUAAAGAGCAAUUUUCUAAGUCAGAAGUUGAAGGUGCCGCUAUACCCUUUUCACCAAAGGGCUUUUGGCUUUGGCAUCUCAGAUUCUGUCUUCUUCUUUUUCUCCUCUUCCUCUUUCUCUUACUGUCCCUUCAAAUUGAAUUGGUUUUUUUUUUCUUCCUACAGUGAUAGAUCUGUCAAAAUUUACACUUCAUAUGAGCCCUUUACAUUCUUAUUUUGCAUUCUUAUUAUGAUUUUAGCUUAUUUGGUUUGUAGUUUUUGUUUUUUCUGCACAGUUCCUGUUUGGAUGGAAACCUUUUUUUAUUUAUUUUUGCUGGUGCUUGUUUCAAUUUUCCCAACCUAGUCAAAAUGGGUUUGAUACUGUGAUUUUCAUGUCUGAUUAAUAGAUAUUCCCUCCGUCCCAUAUUAUAAGCAAAAAAAAAAAUGACACUUAUAAGAAAACUAAAACAUAGUAGUUUGCAACAUAGUUUCUUGUGUUAUCCUUGAAAUAAGUUUUAUAGAAAGAUGUAAAAACAAUUUUAUUGGUUAUUGGUUAUUGAGAAAAUGAAAGAGAGAGCAAAUUGAAUGCACUUUGCAUUUAAUUUUCCUUUGGAAAAGAUAAUUUUUUGAAACAACAUAAUUAAAUAUGCUAAAAGUUGGUUUUUUUUUGCUUAUAAUUUGGGACAAAGAAAAUGGGUUUUUUUCCUUAUAAUUUGGGAUGGAAGGAGUAUAUUACAUUAAUCGGGAAUGAAAAUCACAAGUCAAAGCCAGAUUAAUUAUGUCGUUGGAAAUUGAAUAGAAAGACCCGCCAAAAUGUUUUUAUUUUUAUUUUUUAAUUUAUUUUGUAAUAUUCUGUGCGGAAAAGGAAAGUUGCUUUUUUCAGUUUUUCCCAACCUAAUCAAACUGGAUUUGACAUUAUUGUUUGUGGUUUUCAUAUCUGAUUAAUUGACAUAUUGGAUUAAUCGAGCAUGAAAACCAUAAGCAGUAUGUCUGCACAUGUCUGCACUCGCUUUAGUUAGGUUGUUGAAGAUGAAAUUGAACCAAUGAAUUACUAAAAUGUUUUUGUGGGUUUCGUUGUAAUUGGACAGCAGAAGCUAGACAACCAUAGAGAUGGAAUCCACAAAUGCUGAGUUUUUUUUGUUUCAUCAUUCUACUAAUUCCAUCUCACAUUUUCUUAUUUGUUUGUAUCUGCUGUUUAAAUUUAGUUGUUUUGUUUAUUUCUUAUUUUGAUAGAAAAUUUGGGGUUUUAUAACAAGGAAGAAGACAUUAAGUAGUGUGCAUAUGGAUGCAGUGCAUGGAAUCAAUUUGUUGCAUUUGCACUUUUUUUGUUCUAUUUAAAUAAUUUGAUAAUAGUUAUGAGCUUUCACACUUGAGAUAUGUGGGGACAAUAGACAAUUGCAUGUUUUUUAGACAUAGAAUUUUCAUGUUAAGUAUUGAUCCUUAGAAUUUGGUAAGACUUGAUGACAUUGAUGAGCCAUUACAGUGUGAACUUGUGGAAGUGUCAGCUUCAAAAAUGUUUACCUAAUUUCUUGCAAGUGGAAUGCAUGCACCAUCUCAUACAUUUACCUUUUUGUUUACAUUCGUUGAAUCAGUAAAUGGGCGAAAUGGGCGAUGAUUACUAAGAGAUAAGAUGUCUUAUGUGGGAAACAAUACCCAAUUCCAUCCAUUGCAUUUCACAAAUGGUAUGUGGGAAAUAAAAACCAAUUUUCUAGAUAAGAAGUUUGAUACCUUUAUUUGUCUUGGAUUUUGUUUUUGGACCCAAUUAUAUUUUCAUAUAAUGUUUUUUCUUGUCACCCGAAUGCAGCAACUAUGGUUACAGUACAAAAAUAGUUUGUUGUGCAGAAUUUGAAUCAUGUCUCUUCUAUUCAAUCAUCAUAACCAAUGUAUUAUUUUCAGAUAAUUUAUUGCUUUCAGCUGUUUUGCUGAAGGUAUAAACAAUCUAAUUACCUUUUGAUUCUGAUUCCAUGUGGAUAGUUUAUUAUCCAGGUUCGUUACAGUAACUCUUUCACUAACUUUUAUAUAAGGCUAUCAUUAAUAUCGAUCCUUUCACUUUAGCAUCUAACAUUCAUUGGUGUUGACGAAAGUAUGUUAAUAAAUGUUGGUAGUUAGUUUGUUAGGAUAUGGAGGAAAUGUUUGUAGCUAGGAUUGAACCCUAGACCUGGCUCGUAAUACUAACCAGCCAACUGCAAAUAAGAGCCAACAUGUUGAUAUUUUGAACUUUGGAUUGAACAAUAUAAAGUAAAAUACCAGCUAAAAUGUUUGGAUUUACCAUGUUUAUAAAUGAAAAUUCCUUGUUUUUAAAGUGCAAUAUACUGCAAGGAAGGCAACGGGCGGUAGUCAUAUCGAUAGAGCAUAAUGCUAUUGAUAUGUGGACUUUUGCUUUUAAUAGUAACCGGUGGGAGUAUAGAAUAAUUGAGGUGUGAGAUUAGACUAGAUCUAUAAAAUAAUAGACUAUGUUUGGAACCUGUGACUAUGAAUGGUGACUUUAUCUAUGAAAUUCAAUUUUGGCGAUCUCAAUAAUCCGCCAGUGAUGAGAAAAUAGUGCAUUGUUAACCGCUAAUUACCCCUAAAAUAUAUACUUUCGGACUGACGAUUUUUCAUCUAGCAGUGUUAUCUUUCUUAACAAUUGUUAUAAAUUUAUUUUAAGCUUUUUUAUUUUGUUGAAACUCCUAAUGUUUACACUUGUGUCUGGUUUCAUGCAACUUUUUUAUUUUAGAACGUUAUCAACGAACAAGAUGAAAAACUGAAUGAGCUGAAAGAAAGCAUUGGUGAAGCCGCAUAUGAUGCCGUGGCGAUAGCUUUGAAAGAGAUGAAUGAAUAUAAUCCUAGUGGUGGAUGUCUAAUCUCAGAACUAUGGAACCACAAAGAGGAAAGGAGAGCAACAUUGCAAGAAGGAAUACAGUUUCUCGCCAACAACCCGUCAAAUAAACGCAAGAGGGGAUCAGUUCUGGAAAGGGUGAUUGAUGUUGAUGACAGGGAAGAAGCAUAGGGCAUAGCUAGAGAGACACUUUUUGCAUCUCAACUUAGUAGCAUGCUUUCAUGUUUGGUGAGUUGUUAGUCCAGCAUUUUGGUCAGCUAAAAUAAUCAGUUUCACUAGACAAUUGGUACUAAUCUAGAUGAAAAUCAAACUGCAUUAUUAAUUAUCUCUCUAGCAUGGAAGAAGACAUGUUGAACUUGGCAGCAUAUUAUUAUGAAGUUGUUUAUUUAUACUCUA